UACGUAGGGGGCAAGCGUUGUCCGGAUUUAUUGGGCGUAAAGAGCGUGUAGGCGGCCAGGUAGGUCCGUUGUGAAAACUCGAGGCUCAACCUCGAGACGCCGAUGGAAACCGUUUGGCUAGAGUCCGGAAGAGGAGAGUGGAAUUCCUGGUGUAGCGGUGAAAUGCGCAGAUAUCAGGAAGAACACCCGUGGCUAAGGCGGCUCUCUAGUACGGUACUGACGCUGAGACGCGAAAGCGUGGGGAGCGAACAGG
rnacentral:rRNA from 1 species